rnacentral:tRNA from 1 species
AGGAUAAUAGUUCAAAUAGAACAUUUAAUUUGCAUUUAAAAAAUAUAAACGAUUUAUUUAUCUUA